GGGGGGGGGGGGGGUUGGGUUGGAUUAAUGACAACCUGCUUUGACCCGUCAUCUCUAGGAGGAGAAUCGGGAGGAGAGAGGAAUGGACGCUGACAGGAGCAACAAAAGAACGGAGAAAGUUUGGAUUGACAGGGAAAGUGAAAAAGAUGAGUUGGAAUAAAGUGAAUGGAUGGAGGAUGACAGCUGGACCUUCACCUGAGCGUUUCCAUCAGUGGACAUGCGGCCGUCCACCCGUUCUGAUGAUCAGGUUCUGGGCCCGUCUACUCGCCGUGGUGCGCCUGCUGGAACCUCCAGAGUGACACCUGAAGGGGGACAUCUACAAUAGCAGUGGUUACGCAGAAGCCUCCAUGCCGCUGGGACGGACAUGUGGGACGCAGGUCGGGCCUCCAAGCCUGCUGGUGUUCGGCGCUGUUUCACCGGGCUUUUACAGAAUAACGGCCCGGAUCUAGAGGAGCUCUCAGUUCUGGAGGAUUUACCAGGGAUCCAGUUCCUGAAACCUGACAGUUGGAAUCUGCUCCUGGAAUGUACUGAUGGGUUUUCUGGAAGCUUUCAGGAUGUUCUGCUGGACAUUUGGUGGCGCCGCUCUCCUCUUUCCCCACUAUAGUCAUAUGCCAAAGGGUCACAGUAUUAUGACAGCAUUAUUUCAAUGACAGGGCGCACAGACAUCCCUAAUCAAAGCCUUUUUUUACUCUUAGCACUGAAAGAGAAGUUGGGCCUUCUACAGAGAAGAAAAACAACAUAAACAGCUCACUGUCAGAGUCUUGUCUCAGCAUCAGUAAUAAAAGAGAAACUGUCAAACAGUGAACUCCUGCGGCACUUUAGUCAUGAGUUUGUUCUCAUUUCAUCUCUCUUCAUUUUCUCCAACAAAUAAUAUAUUCUCCAGUAUCUU